CUCUUUCUACAUAGUGCAAAGAGCCAUUUAAGCCAUGCUCUCGCAGACGUAUUACUCGGGCGAACGCGUGAACAUCCUAUCUCAAAUUGAAUAUUAUUUUAAAAGCUUGAGGGCGACGUUACCCUGCAAGCACAAAGAAUUAAUGUCGACAAAACUGUUUCGUCAAGGCUUGGGUUACUCUCCACUUCAGGAGAUGCCAUAUUCAUUUAACAUGGGUUUUUGGCAAAGUCCUUCACCUAACUCAAAGCGCAUCUGAAGUUCUGGACAUCAACAUCAUCAGAGCCAUGACAAGUGAAAGUCAAAGGGGGACAUUCGACUUCAAAACAAUGACAUAAACAAUGUCAUAAAAGUGGCUCUGGAGUGAAGCAUUACUAUUUUGACCAUCAUCAUACAGUUAAAACACAACACUUCUAUUCUUCAUUUAAGUAUAAAGAUGCAAUUUAGAGAGAUGCAGUCGAUGCAAACUGAUGACAUAGAGAUGGCUGAAGUAAAGUGAAUUUUUGUUUAAUUUGUUAUAUCCAAAAAACCUCACUCAGUUUGUCAGACCAGU